GUAUAGGUUUAUAGGCACAAAGGCCAUUGAUUACAUUCUACGACAUACAUUGGGGUAUAUGAAGAAACAUAGGCCUGGAAAUGUAAGGAGAGACCGUGAAGUCAAAGCCUCAAUCCCGAAUGGCUAGCAUUCAGAGAGAGAUCCAGGUCUACAAAAGGUGCACAGGUGGAGAUAUAAAGAUGACAAGCGUGCACAUGCUCCCUAGAGAACCAGCAACAACUCAUCAGAUUUAUUUCAAUAAUGAUCCUUCCGCAGGUUCACCUACGGAAA
rnacentral:misc_RNA from 1 species